rnacentral:rRNA from 1 species
ACGAACGCUGGCGGCGUGCUUAACACAUGCAAGUCGCACGGAAAGGCCCUGCUUUUGUGGGGUGCUCGAGUGGCGAACGGGUGAGUAACACGUGAGUAACCUGCCCUUGACUUUGGGAUAACUUCAGGAAACUGGGGCUAAUACCGGAUAGGAGCUCCUGCUGCAUGGUGGGGGUUGGAAAGUUUCGGCGGUUGGGGAUGGACUCGCGGCUUAUCAGCUUGUUGGUGGGGUAGUGGCUUACCAAGGCUUUGACGGGUAGCCGGCCUGAGAGGGUGACCGGCCACAUUGGGACUGAGAUACGGCCCAGACUCCUACGGGAGGCAGCAGUGGGGAAUAUUGCACAAUGGGCGGAAGCCUGAUGCAGCAACGCCGCGUGCGGGAUCACGGCCUUCGGGUUGUAAACCGCUUUCGCCUGUGACGAAGCGUGAGUGACGGUAAUGGGUAAAGAAGCACCGGCUAACUACGUG